GGAUAAGAUCAGCCCUGUGCCUAGUGGGUGGAGACGGCGCCUUCUUUCCUGGGGCAAACGCCAGGUUUUAGUGUUGACUCUUGUUCAUGGGGUGCCCACCUGGAGCUUUGACAGACCGGGCUUCCUCCUUCGGGAGAGAGAGUGUGCAUUCACACACCAGCCAAACCUACCCCAAGCCCCUUCGCGAUCCUUGGAAGCACUCCACACACAGAUUAGGCUUAGUCUUGUGAAUUCUAGCUGAUCUCGCGGUAUUUCUGGGUUUGUAAAAUGCUGGUUUUAAGACUUUUUCUGCAAACACCUGAGCAAAUGGGGAGAGGCGCUGCUGUAGAAUCAUGAGCAUGAGCAGAGGGAUACUCUCUCUAGAAAUGCAGAUGUGGCUCUUUAGGAAGCUCCCCCUCCACCCCCGCUUGGCUAGAAGGAAGACCCGACCGAGGCAUGCCACGUGGACUUGCAUCAAAACGUAACCCGAGGCUGCCCCCCCCGCAAUGCCGCGAGUGUGAUUGGGCGGGGCUUCGCUCAACGUCCCCCCGCAGCGUGGAGCCCUGUGCGGGUAACUCCUGCCCAAUAAAAGGGCCCGCAGAGUGAAAGCCCGGAGCCGGCCCUUCCUGCCUGCCUGCCGGCCGCGGAGGCCACCCCGGCGCCCUUGGGCGGGACGGAGGAGGCGGGCUCGGCUGCCCAAGGGCGGCGGGUGGCCAGCGCGAGCAAGAGCCGCCCAGUCCCACCGGCCCGCACCACCGCGGCCCGCCUUGGCCCCCACGCCCGGUGAGCGCGCGAGCCUCCAGGCCGCCCUCCGGGGCUCAGCCGAGGAAGCCCGUCCCGGGACCCGGCUUGGCGCUCGCGCCUCUCGAGGGCCGGCCAAGGAAGGUCCCCGGAAGUAGGGCUCGGAGGCGGGACGGGCGAGUCUAGCGCCAGGAGUCUGGAGCAAGCGGGCUCGCCCUCCCCCCCCCGGAGCCGGAAGUGGCGUAGGAGGAGGCGGGGCUGCUGCCGCUGGGGGCGGGAGGAGGAGACGGGCCCCGUCGUGGCGCUGCCCAGGAUGCCGCCGCCGCCGAGCGGGAGGCGGGUGGGGGGCGCUGCGCGGCGGGCGGCGGCGGUGGCCGGGCUGGUGCUGCUCUACUACGGCUUCUCCAUCGGCAUCACCUUCUACAAUAAGUGGCUGAUGAAGAGCUUCGGCUUCCCGCUCUUCAUGACGCUGCUGCACCUGCUGGUCAUCUUCGCGCUCUCGGGCCUGGCCCGGCGCUGCUGCUGCGCCAAGAGGCCCGCCCGCGUCGUCCUGCCCUGGGCCGGCUACCUGCGCCAAGUGGCCCCCGCCGCCCUCUCCACAGCCUUGGACGUGGGACUCAGCAACUGGAGCUUCCUCUACAUCACCGUCUCCCUCUACACCAUGACCAAGUCCUCGGCCGUCCUCUUCAUCCUGCUCUUCUCCUUGGCCUUCAAGCUGGAGGAGCCGAGGGCGGCCCUCAUCCUGGUGGUGCUGCUCAUUGCUGGGGGCCUCUUCCUCUUCACCUACAAGGCCACGCAGUUUGACCUGGAGGGCUUUGCCCUGGUGCUGGGCGCCUCUUUCUUGGGCGGCAUCCGCUGGACCCUGACGCAGAUGCUCCUGCAGAAGGAGGAGCUGGGUACGUGCGCUUGGGGGGCACCGCGCGCUCCUGGGGUGGGGGUCCCCCACUCCCACCCCCACCCCGGCGAGGGACACCUCUCCUCUUCUUUCCCGCAGGGCUUAAGCAUCCCAUUGACACCAUGUUCCACCUGCAGCCAGCCAUGUUCCUGGGGCUUUUCCCUCUCUUUGCUGCAUUUGAAGGGCCUGUCCUUAGCUGCGUCCGAGAAGCUGUUCCGCUUCCAGCAGGCCGAGCGGCUGCUGGGCUUGCUCGGGAAGCUUGCCCUUGGCGGGGUGCUGGCUUUCGGCCUGGGCUUCUCCGAGUUCCUCCUGGUGUCCAGAACCUCCAGCCUCGCCCUCUCCGUCUCCGGGAUCUUCAAGGAAGUCUGCACUUUGCUGCUGGCUGCGCAGCUCACGGGGGACCGGCUGAGCCCCUGGAACUGGCUCGGCUGUGUCCUCUGCCUCCUGGGCAUUUCCCUGCACGUGGCGCUGAAGGCUCUCUCUGCCCGAGGGCACAAGGGCCCCAAGCAGCACAAGGAGGCUGGCUCCGGCCCUGACCUGGAGCUGCUCUUGCUGCAUCAGCACCAGGAAGAAGCGGAGGCCGCCGGCUCGCUCCAGCCCUGAAGCGCCCCUCCAGCUGCGGGCCUCGAGGGGCCUGGCCCGGGGCGACCCCACUGGCCGACUGCUCCGUCGGGGGGCCUGAUGGCGGCAGGCGGCCUGAGGCUCCGUCCGCCGGGGCAGGGCGGGGCAGCGUCUGCAGAACCACCCCAAGUGCGCUGUGCUGCUGGGAGCUGCUGCCUUCGUGCCCUCUGGACCCCCGGCCAGGAGCACGUGGCGGCCCCUCCCCGCGGGUCUUCUGCAGGGGCCUCUGUCUGGCGGCUGGGCAUAUCCCGGCCAGCAAAGUGUCUGUGGGCAGGAGAGCGCCGCCUAGGAGGACGGGGCAGGGCAGCUGCUGAGGCUGCCUGGAUGGCUUGCCCCAGAGGGGGUGGGGACUCCCCAGUUUGGCCCUUAGAGGCCAGCAAAGAGGGGGCUGUCGCCUCAGCCUUGUGGGAGGCCUGAGCGGGCCAUGCCCGUGUGCCGUGGGGCAGAGGCGGCUGCUUUCUGCUGAGCCAGACCAUUGGUCCGUCUAGCUCCGUCUUGUCUCCACUGACUGGCAGCAGCCCCAGAGCCGUUUUGUGCCCUGCCUAGCAGCGCCUGAGCCGGGGCUCUGCCCACCCCUCCCUCCGUGGGCCAGGGUGACUUGGGGAUGCCAGCAGAGCCCAGCCGGCUGUGAGGGCUGCUUGCCCGCUAGGAGGGCCCUUGAUGGCCGUUGCCCUUCCUGCCCUGGGAGGAGCAGGGCGCCCUCUUCGGCCUCAGCACCUGGCAGGUAAGGGAGCAAGGGCAGCUGCUUCUUGGAGAGGGGAUGGCCAGCUGGAGCUGGCCUUGGUAGCCAGCCCAAGCAAGUGCUUGCCCCGGCUCUGGCUCUGUCCGGAGGGUAGAUGCUUUGUGGCAGCAUCAUGUGGCGGGCUGGGCAGAGGGCGGGCUUGUCGCCGGCAGGCUGAGCCUCCCAGAAGCGCUGCACACCGUUUGGGAGCCCGCCUCGCCCGCCUCCAGGCUCGGACCUGGCUGGCCGUGUCGUUCUUGCUCCAGCGAGCAAGCCUGGGGCUGCUGGCUGGCCGGCCCCCUCCUCCCUGGCCUGCCCAGCCCCAGGCAGAGCACGAAGGGCCGGCUCCCCCUCGCUGCUCUGCUGGUCUCUCGUGGCUCAGAUGGCUUUUCUUGCUGAGAACCCAGCCAGUGUCGAAGUCAAUGCUGGUGGGGUUCCAACCGUGGGCCGUAAAGGGAGCCUCCAAAGGCGCCCAAAGCAGACACACAGUUGGCGGCUGCCGCCGUGUCUUGUGGCCCGGCCUUGAAGAAGAUGCGUCUGUGGCACAACUGUUAUCUUGCCUCCUCCCCCGCUUGGGGUGAGGGACGGUCAGCAAAACAACCAGAACUCAUCGCCCGCGCCAUUGGAUCCGACUCUGUGGCUGCCUCGGUCCUGGCCGCUGGAUGCCCGCCGCCGCCGCCCAGCUCUUUGGGCUUGGAUGUGCGGAGGAGGAGAGGCCUGGCGGAGAAGGGCCUUCGUCGGGCUCCUGGUCAGCGGCUCCGCCGGCUCUCCUGCCCCCUGUCCUCAAACACCUUUUCUGGCAGCUGCAUGUCCCAGAGUAUCCUAGAAGGUGGCUGCACCAGCCAUUGGGAGAGGGGCAGUGUGAGGCGUGCUCUCCCUAGGAAUACGCGCGACGCGGACAGCCUCGUUCCCUUUUGUUGUUCCUGCUGCACACCAGGCAGCUGCUUGAUUCUGUCCUUUGACCAGUUCCCCGUCCACAAAAGGGCCUGUCCUCUUCCCCCAUGACUGCUGCCAAGGGGACGGCUCUGCUCCUCCAUCCCCAGAAAAGCUUGCUCGGUCGGUCCAGUCCUGGUCUUGCCGCUGCUGCUCCCUCCCGCUUUGCCCAGAGAAGAACUUUGACUUGGCGUUUGGUGACUUCCUGAGAUUCAUUUGCAGUUUGUUGGCUGCCCUUCUGACGGCUUCGUCAAACCCCACUGUGUGGACUGGCUUCCUCCUGGUGUGCUGAAAGACCCCUUGCAAAGUACGGAACACUGUCUUAUCUGGUCAAGAGAGGAAAUUACAUCAUCAUUUGUAUGAGUUUGUGCAAACAUUUCAAUCAGUUGGCCGGACGGUUACACGUGUACAUUAAAAACAAGGAAGUUACAUCCACAGAUCAUUGCAACUCAGCAUGAUCGAAUGCUCCAGCCAAGUACAGCUGCCGUCACUGUCUGCGGAGCAUUAUUCACAGCUCUAGGGACCUUUCGCCAAAGUCUACUUCAAGCCAAAAUGGCAUUGGUUUGGUCAAGCAAGUGAAGCGAUUUCUACAGCUUGCUGUCAGCUCUCUUCCUGGCUUGCUAGACAUGGAGCUCUACUUUCAAUGCGAGGAGAUGGCCAUAAUCUCCCCUUCUGCAGCCUCUUGAACUCCAGCUUAAGCCCCUGGGGUCCUUUGGGGGCUCCCUGUGCCUUUCCCAACAGGCUGCUAGCUACUUCUUGGAGUCCCUUCACAGAGGCUGCAAGGGGCCUCCCCGGCAUGGGGUGGGAGGGACCCUCGAGAUGUGCUUUCUGACCGUCUGCCUCAGGAGAAUAUUGUGAGAGGGAACAAGUGGCAAGAUCACCGAGAAUCAGCAAGACUGUUGAGACCGAUGAGGCGACCAUUCAAAAGUGGAGCACAGAACUCUGAAACUGAGGUUUUAUACUAAGCAAGUCCCUUUCCGGAUGAUCCCUAGCGUGGAAUUGGCCUUUUUCACAGCUGCCGGACAUUGAGUCGACACUUUCAACGAGCUGUCCACCACCACCCCAAGAUCUCUCUCACUGACAGCUCAGAUCCCAUCAGUGUAUAUGUGAAGUUGGUGUUUUGUGCCCCAGUGUGCAUCACUUGACACUUGCUUGGUUUUGUAUAUUGUUUUGAAUCCAGGCGGUACUUUCCCUGCUGCUGCUGUUAUCAUACUAAGCCUAGAACAGCCUUUGAAAAGCAAAAAAAGUUCCUUGUCCCUGCCCUCUUAAGUGUGCCACCUGUGCUGCUGCACCUGGAAUCCCUUCAAAGUCAGGGUGCUUGCGACAAAAACAGAAGAGACCCGGGCAUGCCAAAGCAUGGGCGAGUUCCAGCCCCACCUCAUGGCUCCCCCCCAAUUUCAGCUGCCAAUCAGCUUCCUCGGCCCCCCUCUUUCAGGCCACAAUAAAGCCCCAUGGUGCCGGGG